CGGCAGUCAUGGUCUCCAGCUUCAUGAUGACGUUGUAGUCCAAGGAGCACACGUCACACAUCGCCCAGAACGGCACCCAACACUUCACCUGCCGACACAGGCACCGCACACACCAUUAGCGAUGCAAACUGGGGCGCUGGGUGUUAACAGACUGCCAGCACACCAAGAUGUUUAACAAUGAUGGGAGUCGGUGAGUGUAGUGGAAGUGUGCGCGGUAGUUUAAUAAUUGUAAAAAAAAAAUAAAUAAAUAAAAUAAAAUAAAUAAAUAAAGAUAGGUAGAUGUAACCGAAUAGAUGGAUACUAUAGAGAUAGAUAUUUAGAUAGAUAGUGAUGGAUAGAUGUAGGAUAUAUAUAUAGAGAGAGACAAAUAGAUACCUACACGGAUAUAUUCACUCAUACAUACUUACUUAUAUGCAUACAUAAAUGGACAGACAAGUUAUCAACCACAAGAUUCAAUUAUAUUAAUUUACAUAUGUAUUAAUCUGAAAGAAAAAGAAAAAAAACUUGGAGCAAUACAGCAAUACUGAGUGACAAAAAUUCAUUAGACUUUCGUUAACCUUCCCAGAACACACACACACACACACACACACACACACACACACACACACACACACACACACACACACACACACACACA
rnacentral:misc_RNA from 1 species